rnacentral:misc_RNA from 1 species
GAUGAAGAACGUAGCGAAAUGCGAUAAGUAAUGUGAAUUGCAGAAUCCAGUGAAUCAUCGAAUCUUUGAACGCACAUUGCGCCCGCCAGCAUUCUGGCGGGCAUGCCUGUCCGAGCGUCAUUUCAACCCUCAAGCUCUGCUUGGUGUUGGGCCCUGCCCGCUGCGGCCGGCCCUAAAGACAGUGGCGGUGCCGCCUGGCCCUGAGCGUAGUACAUCUCUCGCUCCAGUGCCCGGUGGUAGCCUGCCAGAACCCCAACUCUCGUGGUUGACCUCGGAUCAGGUAGGGAUACCCGCUGAACUUAAGCAUAUCAAUAAGCGGAGGA